UCAGGCCUAACACAUGCAAGUCGUACGGGAAUUUUUAAUUCAAGUGGCGGACGGGUGAGUAACACGUAAGAAUUUGCCUUUAGGAGGGGGACAACAACUGGAAACGGUUGCUAAUACCCCAUAUGCUUUCGAGUGAAAUGGAUUUUUCCGCCUAAAGAGAAGCUUGCGGCUGAUUAGCUUGUUGGUGAGGUAAUGGCUCACCAAGGCGACGAUCAGUAUCUGGUUUGAGAGGAUGAUCAGACACACUGGAACUGAGACACGGUCCAGACUCCUACGGGAGGCAGCAGUGGGGAAUUUUCCGCAAUGGGCGAAAGCCUGACGGAGCAAUCUCGCGUGAGGGAUGACGGCGUAUGGGUUGUAAACCUCUUUUUUCAGGGAGGAACAAAAUGAC
rnacentral:rRNA from 1 species